GGGCGUUAAGUUGCAGGGUAUAGACCCGAAACCCGGUGAUCUAGCCAUGGGCAGGUUGAAGGUUGGGUAACACUAACUGGAGGACCGAACCGACUAAUGUUGAAAAAUUAGCGGAUGACCUGUGGCUGGGGGUGAAAGGCCAAUCAAACCGGGAGAUAGCUGGUUCUCCCCGAAAGCUAUUUAGGUAGCGCCUCGUGAAUUCAUCUCCGGGGGUAGAGCACUGUUUCGGCUAGGGGGCCAUCCCGGCUUACCAACCCGAUGCAAACUGCGAAUACCGGAGAAUGUUAUCACGGGAGACACACGGCGGGUGCUAACGUCCGUCGUGAAGAGGGAAACAACCCAGACCGCCAGCUAAGGUCCCAAAGUCAUGGUUAAGUGGGAAACGAUGUGGGAAGGCCCAGACAGCCAGGAUGUUGGCUUAGAAGCAGCCAUCAUUUAAAGAAAGCGUAAUAGCUCACUGGUCGAGUCGGCCUGCGCGGAAGAUGUAACGGGGCUAAACCAUGCACCGAAGCUGCGGCAGCGAACGUAUCACUUAAAGCGAUUCAGCGGGUUACGAUUGACGGAGCGAAGCGACGUCAAAGCGUAUACAAAGUCGAGUCGGUUUAAGGAUACGUUCGUUGGGUAGGGGAGCGUUCUGUAAGCCUGCGAAGGUGGCCUGUGAGGGUUGCUGGAGGUAUCAGAAGUGCGAAUGCUGACAUAAGUAACGAUAAAGCGGGUGAAAAGCCCGCUCGCCGGAAGACCAAGGGUUCCUGUCCAACGUUAAUCGGGGCAGGGUGAGUCGACCCCUAAGGC
rnacentral:rRNA from 1 species